rnacentral:tRNA from 1 species
GGCGACAUGGCCGAGCGGUCUAAGGCGCUAGAAUCAGGAUAACUCCUAUCUAGUCUUUCGGGGCGUGAGUUCGAAUCUCACUGUCGUCA